AUGACCACACAACCAAGGACCUCUAACAAUGAACCAGAUCAUGUCAAGGCGAGGAGGGACCAGAGUCCUUUUCUGGAGGGAGACAUGUCUCGGCCCACAAAUUCUGGGGUGAUGAGCAGCAACAAGGUUGUGGUGAGUGGAGUGCGGAGGCUGAGCACCAUCUCUGAGCAAGACCCAGACAAGGUAGAUACUGACCUCAGCUCUCAGGAUCCCAUGGGAGGCCGGGAGUGGGGCGGAUCCAGUUUCUCACUGUGUUCCAACAAGCACAUCAACAACAGUAGCGAUCACUUCUCCUCCUUCGAAUCCCAUCAGCCUGACGCCGGGGAUGAUUGUGCUGCCAUUCUGCUGGCCUGCCUCUACUGCCGGUUCUAUGACAUUGUAGUCAUGGUGCCAGACACAUGUGAGAGAGCUGUAAGCCGCUGUUUCCCCUCGUUCAAAUACCUCAACGCGUCCAGGGAGCAGGAGCGGGCCAGUGGCUGGUGCAACUGCAGUGUAGAACUGGACUGCAGCUGCUGCAACUCCUGUCAGGAGGGAGCCGAGUUACUGGAACUCGCCAUGGAGAUCUCUGAAGUCUGCUACAGAUGAAAAGAUCCCCUCAAUCAAAUUACUCCUUUUGGCCUAAAAGGACUAAACAUGCACCUUGUCAAUGUUUGUUCUAUCAAAAUAUCAAUAACUAGAGUUGUCACAUUUCUUAGUUUCAGAGGGAACAUGAAUAUGUUUACAAAGAUGGACACUGUGGCUAAAGAGAGUGUUAACUGAGGUAUAGAGUGCUUAAUAAUGAUCCCCCUAUUGAGCCCCAUUAAAUAUUAACCACCAAAAUGCUCCAUUCCGGAAACGCUUCAGUUCUGUAACCAUGAACAGAAAUAAACAGAUUGUGCCUAAAAACACCUGCUUCUUCAUGAUUGAUUUUUCAGCCUUAAACCUGUCACAUAAACAGCCAACAAUAUUGAUGUCUAUAUUUGGUUUCAUUCCCACCCACCUAGUUACAAGGGGAGGAGUGACCGAGUGCACACUACAGGAGAAAGGUAGAGAAUUGGGACGCACUGCAUAUCCUUCCAAAAUGACAGAACCAACUGUAUCCCACUCAGUAAAUUCUCAGGUCAUGCAAUCACAUGAAAACUCUGAUAGUGACACGAGUCAACAAACAGAGUACAGCCUGCUGCAAGUGAACGGGGCAUGGAACAGACAGACUGGCGGACAGACUCAGAAGGAGGGACGGUUAUCAGCUGCUAAAAUUUUCCAGAGCACCUCAGAACAUGGCCUCUCCUGGACAGUGGUCAGCCCUAUUGUGUUCACCUACAGAGUGAUCCAAUGCCACAACCUGCUGGAUGUUGGGAAUGACACACUGCUAUGUGGUCAUAUAGAGGACCAAGAUGAGCUCAAGGCCUUCAGAAGCAACACCAAGCCCAUCAAACGCUUCAUUAUCAUUGAUGAGACAGUCAAUCAGCUCUAUGGCUCCCAGGUCACCAGGUAUUUUGAGGCCAGAAAUGUUCUUUAUAGGAUCCUCCCACUGCCCACUACAGAGGAGAACAAGUCCAUGGAGCUUGUGACCAGGAUUCUGGAGGAGGUCCACAAGUUUGGCAUAGACAGGCGCUCUGAGCCCAUCAUUGCUAUUGGAGGCGGGGUGUGUCUGGAUGUGGUGGGCCUAGCUGCUUCUCUCUACCGGAGGCGAACCCCCUAUAUCCGUGUCCCGACCACCCUGCUUUCCUACAUUGAUGCCAGUGUGGGGGCCAAAACUGGAGUCAACUUUGCCAAUGGUAAGAACAAGCUGGGGAGUUACACACCUCCGGUCGCAACAUUUUUAGACCGGACCUUCAUCCGAACUGUUCCUCGCAGGCAGGUUUCUAAUGGAAUGGCAGAAAUGUUAAAGAUGGCUCUGAUGAAACACAGGGGCCUGUUUGAGCUCCUGGAGACUAAAGGCAAGUACCUAUUGGACUCCAGUUUCCAAUCCCAUGACAAGAUCAGUGGCUGCUGUGACCUGGAAGAUGCUGCCUCUUCGUCCACACGGAUUGCCAUAGAAACCAUGCUAGAGGAGUUGGCUCCCAAUCUGUGGGAGGAUGACCUGGACAGACUGGUGGACUUUGGCCAUCUAGUCAGCCCUGAGCUAGAAAUGAAAGUGCUGCCUGCGCUGCUCCACGGGGAGGCGGUGAACAUUGACAUGUCCUUCAUGGUGUACGUGGCCCACCAGAAAGGGCUCCUGACAGGAGAGGAGAAGGCCCGGAUCAGCCACUGCAUGGUGGGUUUGGAGCUGCCUGUGUGGCACCAGGACUGCACUCUGGCCCUGGUGCAGAAGUCUCUGAGCGAACGACUGAAGCACUCUGCAGGGUCCCUGAGGAUGCCUCUUCCCACAGGACUGGGAUGUGCAGAAAUCUUCCAUGAAAUCAGUGAUGAAAUCCUGUGCCAGGCUUUCAAGAUCUGGUGUGAUGAACUUGGUUCUUCUUGA
rnacentral:lncRNA from 13 species